rnacentral:rRNA from 1 species
GAUGAACGCUGGCGGCGUGCCUAACACAUGCAAGUCGAGCGAGGGUUUGCUCAGUAUUGAGUAUUCUAAGACUAGAAUGUUCAAUUCUGAGCAAAACCAAGCGGCGGACGGGUGAGUAACGCGUGGGUAACCUGCCCUAUACACAUGGAUAACAUACUGAAAAGUUUACUAAUACAUGAUAAUAUAUGUUUGCGGCAUCGCAGAUAUAUCAAAGUGUUAGCGGUAUAGGAUGGACCCGCGUCUGAUUAGCUAGUUGGUGAGAUAACUGCCCACCAAGGCGACGAUCAGUAGCCGACCUGAGAGGGUGAUCGGCCACAUUGGAACUGAGACACGGUCCAAACUCCUACGGGAGGCAGCAGUGGGGAAUAUUGCACAAUGGGCGAAAGCCUGAUGCAGCAACGCCGCGUGGGCGAUGAAGGUCUUCGGAUCGUAAAGUUCUGUUGCAGGGGAAGAUAAUGACGGUACCCUGUGAGGAAGCCCCGGCUAACUACGUGCCAGCAGCCGCGGUAAUACGUAGGGGGCUAGCGUUAUCCGGAUUUACUGGGCGUAAAGGGUGCGUAGGUGGUCCUUCAAGUCGGUGGUUAAAGGCUACGGCUCAACCGUAGUAAGCCGCCGAAACUGGAGGACUUGGAGUGCAGGAGAGGAAAGUGGAAUUCCCAGUGUAGCGGUGAUAUGCGUAGAUAUUGGGAGGAAUACCAGUGGCGAUGCGGCUUUCUUGACUGCAACUGACAUUGAUGCUCGAAAGGCGUGUGUAGCGACAGG